rnacentral:tRNA from 4 species
GGAGGGGUGGCAGAGCGGCUAAAUGCACCGGUCUUGAAAACCGGCGGGCGCAAGCCCACGUGGGUUCAAAUCCCACCCCCUCCG